UGAGGAAUAUUGGACAAUGGGCGCAAGCCUGAUCCAGCCAUGCCGCGUGCAGGAAGAAGCAUCUAUGGUGUGUAAACUGCUUUUGUACGGGAAGAAACACUCCUACGUGUAGGAGCUUGACGGUACCGUAAGAAUAAGGAUCGGCUAACUCCGUGCCAGCAGCCGCGGUAAUACGGAGGAACCAAGCGUUAUCCGGAAUCACUGGGUUUAAAGGGUCCGUAGGCGGUUUAGUAAGUCAGUGGUGAAAGCCCAUCGCUCAACGAUGGAACGGCCAUGGAUACUGCUAGACUGGAAUUAUUAGGAGGUAACUAGAAUAUGUAGUGUAGCGGUGAAAUGCUUAGAUAUUACAUGGAAGACAAAUUGCGAAGGCAGGUUACUACUAAUGGAUUGACGCUGAUGGACGAAAGCGUGGGGAGAGAACA
rnacentral:rRNA from 1 species